AUUGAACGCUGGCGGCAGGCCUAACACAUGCAAGUCGAGCGAGCGGCGGACGGGUGAGUAAUGUAUGGGGAUCUGCCCGAUGGAGGGGGAUAACUACUGGAAACGGUGGCUAAUACCGCAUACUAUCGGAUGAACCCAUAUGGGAUUAGCUAGUAGGUGGGGUAAAGGGUCACCUAGGGGACGAUCUCUAGCUGGUCUGAGAGGAUGAUAAGCCACACUGGGAAUCAGACACGGCCCAGAUUCCUACGGGAGGUAGCAGUGUGGAAUAUUGCACAAUGGGCGAAAGCCUGAUGCAGCCAUGCCGCGUGUAUGAAGAAGGCCUUAGGGUUGUAAAGUACUUUCAGCGGGGAGGCGUUACCCGCAGAAGAAGCACCGGCUAACUCCGUGCCAGCCGCCGCGGUAAUAC
rnacentral:rRNA from 1 species